GACGAACGCUGGCGGCGUGCUUAACACAUGCAAGUCGAACGGAAAGGCCCUGCUUGCAGGGUACUCGAGUGGCGAACGGGUGAGUAACACGUGGGUGAUCUGCCCUGCACUUCGGGAUAAGCCUGGGAAACUGGGUCUAAUACCGGAUAGGAGCCAUUUUUAGUGUGAUGGUUGGAAAGUUUUUUCGGUGUAGGAUGAGCUCGCGGCCUAUCAGCUUGUUGGUGGGGUAAUGGCCUACCAAGGCGGCGACGGGUAGCCGGCCUGAGAGGGUGGACGGCCACAAUGGGACUGAGAUACGGCCCAGACUCCUACGGGAGGCAGCAGUGGGGAAUAUUGCACAAUGGGCGCAAGCCUGAUGCAGCGACGCCGCGUGGGGGAUGACGGCCUUCGGGUUGUAAACUCCUUUCGCUAGGGACGAAGCUUUUUGUGACGGUACCUAGAUAAGAAGCACCGGCUAACUACGUG
rnacentral:rRNA from 1 species